GAUUAAAAAUUUUCUUUCUAUUUUUAUUGUUUAAAACUAGCAUGAUCGACAGAAUAACCAAAUAAUUAUAUGUGAUAUGCCAUGUACACCUUCAUGUUAAUAUGUAUGGAUCGGUUUUUAACAAUAAAAAUAGACAUAAAUUAUUAACA
rfam:Gossypium arboreum cultivar AKA8401 contig_206706_1, whole genome shotgun sequence.